ACAUGCAAGUCGAGCGAAUGGAUUAAGAGCUUGCUCUUAUGAAGUUAGCGGCGGACGGGUGAGUAACACGUGGGUAACCUGCCCAUAAGACUGGGAUAACUCCGGGAAACCGGGGCUAAUACCGGAUAACAUUUUGAACCGCAUGGUUCGAAAUUGAAAGGCGGCUUCGGCUGUCACUUAUGGAUGGACCCGCGUCGCAUUAGCUAGUUGGUGAGGUAACGGCUCACCAAGGCAACGAUGCGUAGCCGACCUGAGAGGGUGAUCGGCCACACUGGGACUGAGACACGGCCCAGACUCCUACGGGAGGCAGCAGUAGGGAAUCUUCCGCAAUGGACGAAAGUCUGACGGAGCAACGCCGCGUGAGUGAUGAAGGCUUUCGGGUCGUAAAACUCUGUUGUUAGGGAA
rnacentral:rRNA from 1 species